rnacentral:rRNA from 1 species
CCUACGGGAGGCAGCAGUGGGGGAUAUUGCACAAUGGGGGGAACCCUGAUGCAGCGACGCCGCGUGGGUGAAGGAGGAUUUCGGUUUGUAAAGCCCUAUCGGCAGGGAAGAAUUUAGACGGUACCUGACUAAGAAGCCCCGGCUAACGACUUGCCAGCAGCCGCGGUAAUACGUAGGGGGCAAGCGUUAUCCGGAUUCACUGGGUGUAAAGGGAGCGUAGACGGCCAGGCAAGCCUGGAGUGAAAGCCUGGGGCCUAACCCCGGGACUGCUCUGGGAACUGUACGGCUGGAGUGCGGAAGGGGCAGGCGGAAUUCCUGGUGUAGCGGUGAAAUGCGUAGAGAUCGGGAGGAACACCAGGGGCGAAGGCGGCCUGCUGGACCGCGACUGACGUUGAGGCACGAAAGCGUGGGGAGCGAACAGGAUUAGAUACCCCGGUAGUC